GGAGAGAUGGCUGAGCGGUUUAAGGCGCACGCCUGGAAAGCGUGAUUACCCCUAAAGGGUAUCGGGGGUUCGAAUCCCCCUCUCUCCGCCA
rnacentral:tRNA from 1 species